UACGUAGGGUGCAAGCGUUAAAUCGGAAUUACUAGGGCGUGAAACGUGACGCAGGCGGUUAUGUAAGACAGGUGUGAAUCCACGGCUUAACCUUGGAACUGCAUUUGUGACUGCAUAGCUAGAGUACGGUAGAGGGGGAUGGAAUUCCGCGUGUAGCAGUGAAAUGCGUAGAUAUGCGGAGGAACACCGAUGGCGAAGGCAAUCCCCUGGACCUGUACUGACGCUCAUGCACGAAAGCGUGGGGAGCAAACAGG
rnacentral:rRNA from 1 species